AUUCAUUAAGCCGGUGAUUAUCUGCGAGCACCCUCAACUGACGCCUCACCUACCCACCUAACCUUUGGGACUUCAUCAACAAGCUCGCACAGGAGUGCCAGACUGGAUGCAGUUAUGUUAAUCAUCUUGGAACCACGUUCCCGUGUCCUCAGAGGAGGUUGUGCCUGUCGGUGGGACUGCUUUGGAAGGUGAAACAGAAGUUGGAAGAGAACCUGGUGACAUGUGCAGAAGGUCAAAGCCAACACCUCUGUCUGCAUCAUGAAUGGAGCUGAAAACGUAG